ensembl:lncRNA
UUCCAAGUUCUGCUGUUAGCCAUCUGCAAAGGAAAAUGUACUAGGAGCUGUUGGGUAAAGGUUCAGAAAAUGCUUUGCUUUCCUUGGCUGUGAUAUUCUCCCAUUAGGGAGGGAUGAACUCAGAGAGCGUUACCUACUAAUGUGCCAGUCUUCAUCCUGCAUGCAGUUCUGGCUCCAGGAGAACUUACCUGGAAACACAUCAAAAAUUGUGCGAUGGGAGACCUGAGCAAGACCCAGUAGUAUAUGUGGGACGUUGCAAGAUUCAGCAGGGAGGAGCCAAGGGUCAGUUAUCUUCUGUGAUCUUGUACUAAUUUGGACAUCCUGAUGCUCCUUGAAGAGGACAUUAUACUCGGUCUGGAUUCUGCCUACUCUGAGAUGUUGAAACUCAGGUGGAUGCUUUUCAGUGCUGUUGAAGUCCACAUGAAGGCUGGUGGAGAGCUGUGGUGCACGUUUUCCUGGCUUCAUGGAGUUACGUCUCAGGCUUUGGGGACUUCUGACUCUGCUUAUCUGCUGCAUUUGCAUCAGCAUAUCCACCCCAUCUUUCUAUAUAUAGCAUGCUCCCUCAUUUCACUUUCACCUUCUGCAGUGAAGUCUUGCUUCUUGUGGCUGUGACCCCAGAAUCAGUUGCCAGAGAAAUAAAUGUGAUGACACAGAUUAAAUCCUUCAGCACUGAAUCGAGUGCAAGGAACAAAGGAGAAGAUAAGUGCCUUUCUAAAAUAGAAACAUUUAUUAGAAAAAUCCAUUUGUUUUUGUCAGCUCUGUUUGAACAGAUUGUUCCAGUAUCAAAAUCUCCACUUAAUUGAAACAUAUAUAUAUACAUAUACAUACAUAUAUAUACAUAUAUACAUAUAUAUAUACAUACAUAUAUAUAUAAGUUUUGCAGUGAUAUAUAUAUAUAUAUAUGUUUGGCAGUGAUCUCGUGCUCCUGGUUCUUGCCUAGUUUCUGCUUAAAUAAGCUGAGAGGCUUCUGCUACUUUCGAUGGACUUUGUUUAAAACCUCUGUUGAAAACUCUUAACAUCUGGCAAUGCUAAACUGAAAAAGCAGUAUUGAAAGUAAGAGUUUGUCACGUAGAACCCAGAUCAAUGUGCUGGGCUCUGUGCUUUGCAUUUAAGAAAGGCUGAGAGAAAAGAAAAGGGAGAGAGUCUUUUCCUAGAAGAACCUAGAACAAGAUCUUAAACCAUGAGUGCUGGGGUAUCGGAAUUCCUUAUUACCCAAAUAUGUGGAAAUCUCGCCUUCAUCAGAAGUUCCUACACAAUUUUGGCACAAAUAUAACAAUUAUAUCUGCAAAUGAGAAAAAUGUGUUCUGUAAUAAGACUUGCCUGGACUGCAAAUUAAAAUGUUUAAAGAACACCAUUCUUUAAUUUUAGGCUCACCUUUAGUGGAAUGUGAUUUAGUAGAUUCCUUGUCUACUCCUUGCUCAGCCUUUGCUGCCUAAACAUAGGAUGUGCUGCUCAGGUCCAUGUGCUCAGGUCCACUGUCAGGGAGAAGCUGGCAGCUCUGAGGGGAGCAGGGUGAAGCCAAAUACUGAACUGCAUGCUGGAGGCUGCUGUUGACUACAAAAGGAGUUGAAGUGACCAGCUGAGAUCAGCUUCUAAAUGGGUAAACCCAGUAUUAAAGGCAGAAAUCAAAGCACAGGACCCAUGGGAAGCGACGUUUCAAAUGUACACCAUUGCUUUUCUUCGUCAUUGUUCUGAACUGUGCACCCUCUGCUCCUGACAGUGCACCCACAACAAGAUAAGGAGUUUGAGUACAUAAGUGUCUUCUGUGGGAAGAGGAGCAACAGCUGCCCACCAAAUUGGAAGAAGAUAUAAUGAAUGCAUCUUCUCUGAAUCACAAGAAAAAGACUAUUUCAACUUAAGAGAACAUUUUAAUCUCAGUCAAAAUGGGGCAUCUUCACCAUAAGGUUGUCUGCAGUCAUGAUCUUGAAGUGUUUACAUAAGAUACAAUUGAUGAAACAUUUGCUUGAGAUUUCCCAUGCAUCAGUUGCACACAGCCCAGCUGUGUUUCCAGCCAGCAGCACUGCUUACCCAUGGAGCAGUGCAAGUGCUCUCCUGGCCCGUGGUUCUGCUGCUGGGCUCUGUAGGGAAAGAGCAGCCUUGUUACAGGGAUGCUCCCACCUGCAUAGCCUGCUUCCAAGGUGUUACUUACAGGUGUUGACACCACUAGGAGAAAAUGUGCUUCCUAUUUAG